GGUAUGUAACACUAUUCUAGGUCCAUAGGUAAUUAAUGAUAUUGCCUUCUGUAUUGAUUUUCCUUUGAUUUUAUUUUAUUUCCUUGAGUAGAAAAAGACGAGGCACUUGAGAAUUUGGAGGAAAGAGUCAUGAGUACCAAACACUUAUGCUCUCACUCCUACCGUUUUAAAACGAAAUAGGCAAAUAGCUUUGGAAAAACAUAAAAAUGAAAACAACAACAACAACAACAACAAAAAAUUGUGCAUAAAUGUUUAAAUUAUUAGCUAUUAAUCUUUAUUAGAUUUGUUUUUCAACAUGUUACAUCAUACUAGUGAUGGUGCGUUUUUGCCAUGUUUUUGAAUUUUGCAGGCUAACUGUAAUAUCCCUGAUCUUCCUAGUGAGCUAGCAUCUACGUUUCAAGCCUAAUACCCUGUUGUUUGUUAUAGUCGAGGUUCUACAAGAGAGAAGCGCAAGAUUCUCUUGCUUGGAUAGGUUUUGGCAAUUAUUUUGCUACCCAAAAGGAGGGUGACCAAGCCAUGGCUGCCUGUCUCGCUCUUGCUAGGCUAUUGCCAGGGUUGAAUCUUGAUAUUAUCUUGUUCCAGGUGUCAUUUUCUCAGCUGCCCAUCUCAUAUUAUCACAAGGAAUACACACUACUGUAUAUUAGAGAAUGAUAAUUAUUUCAUUAACUUUCUUCUGUCAGACGGUGAGCUAUACAUUUUUCAUUUUCUCUAAGUCUUCUUUUGGUUUUUUCUCUGUUUUCAGGUCUUAUGGUUGAAACUUGAUGAUGAAUUUUGUACAGAAAUGUUGAACGGCGGGUUCUCAUGGAUGACGGUCAGAAAGGGUUGAUGCAAAGGUUGAGGUCUGCUAGAAAUUGGUCAGUGUUGUCUCCACUGUAUGUGGUCUUGGUCUCUGACAUAGGAGGUCCCUUGAGUAGGCCCCCGAACAGCUCUCCUGGAUCAUAGUAAAAUCUCAAUCACCUCUGCUCUGAGCGAUUCAUCAACCUGUAGAGAACCUCUAGAAUGUCUAAACUUGAAGGCUAUAUAUAACAGGCGGUCCUGAGUCCAGAGAGUAUUUCCCAUGCAAAUCCGUGUGGUAAAGCAGAUCUAAAGGCAUCAUGUGAUGACUAGAAGCUCUCUUCCUCUUGGCUUGUAAUACUGAAACUCCUCAGGCAAAGAGUUGCUGAGCAAAGCAUUGUAACUCUCCCAAGCCUAAGUAUGUUCUUCUUGGUUGUUCGCAGAGCAACCUGAACUAGAUGUAAUGUAUAAUUUAGCAUCAACAAACGAUAUCUUGCUUGAUGAACAUAGCUGUAACAAGAUCAACCUCAGACAGCUGUAACUAGUUCUAGUGAAGCAAAAGCCUUUUGAGCUCGUA